UGUAUUAAGUGUGAUAAACGUCAUGCACUCUGUCUGUAUAUGAAUAUAGGAGACUACCAAAUAAGGAGAGAUGCAAAUUUUAUGCAAGGCUAUAAAAGGCCAAGGAGCGCUUUGUGCGGGGCCGCACUCCGAUGGUGAAGACUUACUCGCUGUUAUUUUCAUUUUUUAUUACUUAUGAGUUAUUGUCUACUAAUAAAGCAAAGUAAGUCUCUGAGUAAUUUAUUUACGAGUAACAUAUUAUUCUGGAACUGAAUAUUCCUUUCGAGCCUCAAGAAGUCUGAACUCAGCUGAGCAGAUUUGAGUGCGAUCUCAGAGAUUCUGUAACCAUUUGCCAGACAUUACACGACUGAGAGACUGCAACGCCUGAAGCUAAAAAUCAUAAUUUGUGUUCUACUGAAGGAACAAAGUCACCUACAGCUUUGAUGCGCUGGGGAUUCCUGCAUCUAUACAUCACCAUCAGAAGACAAAAUUCAUAAAAGCACAAGACUGACUGCAGAGGAACCAGUGUCCAGCGAGGAGCAUCUCAGUUGAGCACAAAAACGAAAAAGAAAAACCAUCAAGAUCAUUUAGUACACUUACAGUAGAACAAGAAGAAAUGAACAUACAAAUACCAACACCAGCAGUAGCAGUGACUGGGGUCUCCGUUCAGCCUGCUGUAUCAUUUGUUCAGCCCGCUGUAAGGGUUGUUCAGCCCACUGUAUCAUUGGUUCAGCCCACUGUAAGGGUUGUUCAGCCCACUGUAUCAUUGGUUCAGCCCGCUGUAAGGGUUGUUCAGCCAACUGUAUCAUUGGUUCAGCCCGCUGUAAGGGUUGUUCAGCCCACUGUAUCAUUGGUUCGGCCCGCUGUAACGGUUGUUCAGCCCACUGUAUCAUUGGUUCGGCCCGCUGUAACGGUUGUUCAGCCCACUGUACCGUUGGUUCAGCCCACUGUGGUCAUGAGUCCAAUGUCAGUGCUACAUAAGUCUUCAUUCUGACUCGAGAUGCUAACUUGUCUGGACAGCGAGAGUUAGCGAUGAGCAGCUCCAGAGUGGCAUUUAUCCUGAACAAUUUGGCUCUCGGUAUCGGCCUCACAGUCAUAACAGUGGUCAUUAUCAUUAAAUUAGUUCCUUGAACAACAUCGUUGAACAGAUGUUUUAUUCUGCAAAUGCAUCUAUUCAUACUGUAAAUGACACUGUCAACUCAAAUCAAUGAUUUUUUGGAAGAAAUUAAAAAUAUUUUCCAGACCCUCUGAAGGGAAUGAUCUAAUGUACGCUUAUGUUUUAUUUCUUUUUGUAUGUAAUGCUGGCAGACUGAUAUGUUUGAUUAGCAGAAAUUAAAUGCUUUACUGCUUUUCUUUACUGCUAACAUCUAAAGACUCAUCUUUUUCGCCAGCACCAACUAAUACUAGCACUUACCUUUUCUUUUCUUGUCUAUCCUAUUCUUUGAAAAAAAAAAAAAAAAAAACCUUGCUAUGAGUUCUGUGCUAGACUAACUGAGACUUGUCAUGGCACUUGUAUACUGUUGUUGUUCUCUCGUUGGUCUUAUUGGUUCUAUUGUUCUCAAUUAUAAGUCGCUUUGGAUAAAAGCAUCUGCUAAAUGA